rnacentral:rRNA from 1 species
CCUACGGGUGGCAGCAGUAGGGAAUAUUGCUCAAUGGGGGAAACCCUGAAGCAGCAACGCCGCGUGGAGGAUGAAGGUUUUCGGAUCGUAAACUCCUUUUGUCAGAGAAGAUAAUGACGGUAUCUAACGAAUAAGCACUGGCUAACUCCGGGCCAGCAGCCGCGGUAAUACGGAGGGUGCAAGCGUUAGUCGGAAUCACUGGGCGUAAAGAGCGCGUAGGCGGGAUAGCAAGUCAGAUGUGAAAUCCUAUGGCUUAACCAUAGAACUGCAUUUGAAACUGUUAAUCUGGAGUAUGUGAGAGGUAGGUGGAAUUCUUGGUGUAGGGGUAAAAUCCGUAGAGAUCAGGAGGAAUA